AAUGGGCGAGAGCCUGAACCAGCCAAGUCGCGUGAAGGAAGAAGGAUCUAUGGUUCGUAAACUUCUUUUGCAGGGGAAUAAAGUGCAGGACGUGUCCUGUUUUGUAUGUACCCUGAGAAUAAGGAUCGGCUAACUCCGUGCCAGCAGCUGCGGUAAUACGGAGGAUCCGAGCGUUAUCCGGAUUUAUUGGGUUUAAAGGGUGCGUAGGUGGUUUGAUAAGUCAGCGGUGAGAGUUUGCAGCUUAACUGUAAAAAUGCCGUUGAAACUGUCGGACUUGAGUGUAAAUGAGGUAGGCGGAAUGCGUGGUGUAGCGGUGAAAUGCUUAGAUAUCACGCAGAACGCCAAUUGCGAAGGCAGCUGGCCGGGCCGCAAUCGACGCUGAGGCACGAAAGCGUGGGGGUCAAA
rnacentral:rRNA from 1 species